UGGGGAAUUUUGGACAAUGGGCGAAAGCCUGAUCCAGCAAUGCCGCGUGUGUGAAGAAGGCCUUCGGGUUGUAAAGCACUUUUGUCCGGAAAGAAAUCCUUGGCUCUAAUACAGUCGGGGGAUGACGGUACCGGAAGAAUAAGCACCGGCUAACUACGUGCCAGCAGCCGCGGUAAUACGUAGGGUGCAAGCGUUAAUCGGAAUUACUGGGCGUAAAGCGUGCGCAGGCGGUUUGCUAAGACCGAUGUGAAAUCCCCGGGCUCAACCUGGGAACUGCAUUGGUGACUGGCAGGCUAGAGUAUGGCAGAGGGGGGUAGAAUUCCACGUGUAGCAGUGAAAUGCGUAGAGAUGUGGAGGAAUACCGAUGGCGAAGGCAGCCCCCUGGGCCAAUACUGACGCUCAUGCACGAAAGCGUGGGGAGCAAACAGGAUUAGAUACCCUGGGUAGUCCACGCCCCUAAAAGAUGUCAACUAGUUGUUGGGGAUUCGAUUUUCCUUAGUAACGUAGCUAACG
rnacentral:rRNA from 1 species